rnacentral:rRNA from 1 species
GACGAACGCUGGCGGCGUGCUUAACACAUGCAAGUCGAACGGAAAGGCCCUGCUCUUGUGGGUUGCUCGAGUGGCGAACGGGUGAGUAACACGCGUGUAACCUCCCCUUGUCUUUCGGAUAACUUCACGAAACUGGGGCUAAUACACGAUAGGAUAUCCUGCUGCAUGGUGGGGGUUGGAAAGUUUCGGCUGUUGGGGAUGGACUCGCGGGUUAUCAGCUUGUUGGUGGGGUGGUGGCUUACCAAGGUUUUGACGGGUAGCCGGCCUUGGAGGGUGAGCGGCCUCCAUGGUACUGAGGUAGGGCCCAGUCUCCUACGUGAGGCAGUAGUGGGGAAUCUUGCACAGCGAGCGCGCGCCAGAUGCAGCAACGCCGCGUGCGUGAUGACGGCUUUCUGGUUGUAAACCGCUUUCGCCUGUGACGAAGCGUGAGUGACGGUAAUGAGUAAAGAAGCACCGGCUAACUACGUG